rnacentral:rRNA from 1 species
CAGGUGCCUUGGGCUUUUCCCCAUAGGUGACCUUGGUCAUUUAGAGGAAGUAAGCGGAAGGAUCAUUAAUCGUACCAAUGUUUUAGGAGCGUGGCGGAGCGUGGCGGAUGUCCCCGCUGACUUUUCAAAAGUUGUGCACGCCGGAGCGUGUCCUCUCACAUAACACAAUCCAUCUCACCCUUUGUGCACCACCGCGUGGGCACCCUUUUGGGGUCAGAGCGAUCUCUGAGGGGACUCGCGUUUUCACACAACACCCCCUUUUAAAAAGUGUAGAAUGACCUCCUUUAUGCAAUCAAUACAACUUUCAACAACGGAUCUCUUGGCUCUCGCAUCGAUGAAGAACGCAGCGAAAUGCGAUACGUAAUGUGAAUUGCAGAAUUCAGUGAAUCAUCGAAUCUUUGAACGCACCUUGCGCCCCCUGGUAUUCCGAGGGGCACACCCGUUUGAGUGUCGUGAAAACCUCAACCUCCUUGGUUUUCCUUCUGGAGACCAAAGGAGGCUUGGACUUUGGAGGCCUUUGCUGGUGUCUCUCACCAGCUCCUCUUAAAUGAAUUAACGGGGUCCUCUUUGCCGAUCCUUGACACGGAAAGAGCUUCCGUGUCUCGGUUCCGGCUCUGUUGCUUUGGGACCCGCUUCUAACCCGCUGGACCUUGCUCGAGACAAUGUCGAGCUCGUCUCCCUUCUCGGGAACCCCCUCGACCCACGAACCCCUGGCCUCAACUCGGGUGAAACUACCGCUGAACUUAAGCAUAUCAUAACGAAGGAAAAAACAUACACGAACUCCUUAAUACUCGCGAGUGAAGCGAAAAUCAAAUUUAAACUAGGCGGCUCUCUUGCCGUCAAGUUAAUUAAAGAACGCUCUCCGCCCCGAACUGUCAAGCUUCCUGAUUGAAGCGCAUAAAGCGAAAUACCGCUUUGCAUGAUCCCUGGCUCAUCUGAUCUCUUCAAACCCAUGUCUUGGAUG